UGACAAUUUAUAUGGGAAUGGUAGGAAUAAUUUUCAAAAAUUAGAUCAAAAUUAAUGUUCAAGAUUAAAUGGAGAUAUUGAUUCGCAUGUGCCUUUGUCUUUCCCAAGUCCAGAACUGAAAACUCGUUAUUUCCUUUCAUGAACCACCACUCCAAAUCUCACCCACAAGGACCACAAUAAACUAUGCCACCCAUGAACAUUCAAAACUUCGAUUUUAGUUAUUGUAGUCAAAUUUGAUUCUCAUUUGUUGCACCUCUUUCUCAUGGAAAUAGAGCGAUUGUCUAGAUUCCAUGAAUAAUAAUAAUAAUAAUAAUAAUAAUAAUAGAUCGAUUGUGUAUAAAGAGAAUACAAGAGUUUGAUCCAACUUAUUCACUUUCAAUUAUAUUCUUAAACAAAUUUGUCUAUAAGAAUGUUAUAUUUUUUAUGUUAUUUAAAAAGAUAAGAAUUUAUAUUAUAUUUUAUAUAUUGUUGGUGUCAUUAAAAGAUUAAUGUAGUUUGUUUAAAUAUGAAAAGGCAAAAUAUUUAUAGCUGUAAUAUACUUUUCGUAAUUUAUAAGUAGUAUUAAUGCUUUUCUUCUCAACGCUAUUAAAACAUUGUUAUUUAAUAGCAUUUUUCAAGCGCUAUUAUAGGAUUUCAACCUAUAGUAUCGGGGUUUUCUUAGUGCCUGAAAAACACUAUUAA
rnacentral:lncRNA from 1 species